UACAGAGGUCUCAAGCGUUGUUCGGAUUCAUUGGGCGUAAAGGGUGCGUAGGCGGUCGUGCAAGUCGGAUGUGAAAUCUCAGGGCUCAACCCUGAAACUGCAUUCGAUACUGCGCGGCUAGAGUGCUGGAGGGGAGACUGGAAUUUACGGUGUAGCAGUGGAAUGCGUAGAUAUCGUAAGGAAGACCAGUGGCGAAGGCGAGUCUCUGGACAGCAACUGACGCUGAGGCACGAAGGCCAGGGGAGCAAACGGG
rnacentral:rRNA from 1 species